rnacentral:lncRNA from 1 species
CAUAUAUAAAUGCUUGAAGUGGUGAGUUUAAUCCAUUAUCACAUGAAGAUUAUUGGAUGCAUGCACGUAUGUUCAAAUGUAUUUCUGAUCAUCAUCGUUUAAGAUCUAAGCAGAAACGCAGACCAAAGUCAACAAGACUGCGAAAUGAGAUGGAUGAUAGGUAAAUAAGAAAUAAGAAUCACUGUGGUAUUUGUAAGGAAUAGGGUCAUGAUCGCCGUCGCUGUUCUAGGAUACUUCAACAUACUUCAACUUCA